GACGUAGGGGGCCAGCGUUGUUCGGAAUUACUGGGCGUAAAGCGCACGUAGGCGGAAUGUUAAGUCAGGGGUGAAAUCCCGGGGCUCAACCCCGGAACUGCCUUUGAUACUGGCAUUCUCGAGUCCGGAAGAGGUGAGUGGAAUUCCGAGUGUAGAGGUGAAAUUCGUAGAUAUUCGGAGGAACACCAGUGGCGAAGGCGGCUCACUGGUCCGGUACUGACGCUGAGGUGCGAAAGCGUGGGGAGCAAACAGG
rnacentral:rRNA from 1 species